ensembl:lncRNA
UUUUUUUUUUUUUUUUUUGAGAGAGAGAGAGGGUCUAAUUCUGUCACUCAGGCUGACAUGCAAUCACAGCUCACUGCAGCCAUGACCUCCUGGGCUCAAGCAAUCCUCCUGCCUCAGCCUCCUGAGUAGCUGGGACCACAGGGACAUGCCACCACACCCGGAUAAUUUUUUUUUUUUUUUUUGGUGGAGACGGGGUUUUACCAUGUUACCCAGGCUCAUCUAUAAACUCCUCAGCUCAAGCAAUCCUCCCACCUCACCCUCCGAAAGUGUUAAGAUUACAGGCGAGGCUGGGUGUGGUGGCUCACGCCUGUAAUCCCAGCACUUUGGGAGGCUGAGGCAAGAGAAUGGCAUGAACCUGGGAGGCGGAGCUUGCAGUGAGCCAACAUCAUGCCACUGCACUCCAGCCUGGGUGACAGACUCCAUCUCAAAAAAAAAAAAAAAAAGAUUACAGGUGAGAGCCACCAUGCCCAGCCUAAAUCUGAUCAUUUUUAACCACCAUUUUGAUUAAUCAUGUACGGCUCCAUUUAUGAACUGAAAUUCUCUUAAACAUUUUCAACUGCAUUUAUACAUGUAGAAUCUAAUUUUAUUCUUUAGCAUUUCAGUUGUCUGCCUUAUCAAGUAUUAAUAUUUAAAUAAUUCUCAUAGGUAUAUUAAAUGUCUACAUUUCUCUUAAACUUUUAAGUUCUCUUUGUUCCAAUUAUAAUCACAAACUUUGGAAUACCUUUCAACUUACAAUCACUAUCAAAAAUCGAAUACCUAGGGCAGGGUGUGAUGGUUCAUGCCUGUAAUCCCAACACUUCGGGAGGUCGAGGCAAGCAGAUAGCCUGAGCCUGGGACUUCAAGACAAGACUGGGCAACAUGGCAAAAGCCAGUGUCCACAAAAAAAAAAAAAAAAAAAAAAUUAGCUAGGCAUGGUGGCACACACCUGUGGUCCCAGCUAUUUGGGAGGCCAAGGUGGGUUGAUCAUCUAAACCUGGGGAGGCCAAGGCUGCAGUGAGGCAUGAUCGUGCCACCACACUCCAGCCUGGGUGACAGAGUGACACCUCGUCUCAAAACACACACACACACAAAUACUUAGAUAUUUUACAUGAGAAUUAGAUUUAUCUAUCAGAUACUCUACCAUGCCAGAUUUCCUUACAAUUACAGAAAAUAGCAAACACAUAUUGUUUGUAAACACAACGCAAAAACGUUAAUGCUCUGGUUUCUAUCUGCCUUGUCAUUCCAUUAUUUGACUCCAUUUUCGAGGUUAGAAACUUACUGUACGGUGGCCGGGCGAAGUGGCUCACACCUGUAAUCCCAGUACUUUGGGAGGCCAAGGAGGGUGGAUCUCCUGAGGUCAGGAGUUCGAGACUGGCCUGGCCAACAUGAUGGAACCCCGUCUCUACUAAAAAUACAAAGAAAAUUAACCGGGUGUGGUGGCAGGCGCCUCUAAUCCCAGCUACUCGGGAGGCUGAGGCAGGAGAAUCACGAGAAUCCAGGUUGGAGGUUGGAGAUUGCAGUGAGCCGAGAUCGCGCCACUGCACUCCAGCCAGCGCGACAAGAGCGAAACUCCAUCUCAAAACAAACAGAAACUCAGUGUAAGAAAACAAUGCAACCCAAGGCAUUUGGGGUGACCUUCACAUUGCCUGGGGGUGCCGAGGGACCAGAGAUGCUGGCCAUGGACUAAGGUCUGGGUAUUCUCAGGCAGCAGGGACAAGGUGGGAUUUUUUCCUGGUUGCUAAACCCACGUCAAAGUCCAGCUCAGGGACUGGAGCUCAAGAAACCCACCACCCAUUCUCCAGUCCGACCGGGGACCUGCAUGCACCUGUGCCGUGCUGCCCUGAGUCCUCCAAUCCUCCACACUCUUCAUCUGUUAGGUACACGUCUGCACCCCAGCCUGCAAAAGUUCCAGGUUCCUCUCAGGGGCAGGCACCCGCACGCCGGCCCAGGGCUUGGCACGCGGGGGCGCUGAAACAGGGCCAGGCCUGGUUUCCAGCCGAUCGUCAUAGUCCCCAGGCCCAGCAACCUUCCUCACAAAGGCAUCGUUAAGAGGCGGGGAAACAAGAGCCAGGAGAGGGGCGCGGAACGGCGGGCGGGACGAACUACCAGCUCCGCGUCCCGGCCAGCUGCGUCGAACCAGGGGCACGGCAGCUGGUGUGCGGUUCGAAAACUAGGAAUGGGAAGGUUCGGGGCCCGCUCGGCUCCGGAGGCAGUCGGCGGGCAGUCGCUGGCGGCGUUGGGACAGUCAGUCGCAGCCGGGUACAGGAGCCCGGUCGGCCCUGAGACCGCGAC